rnacentral:rRNA from 1 species
GACGUAGGGCGCGAGCGUUGUCCGGAUUUAUUGGGCGUAAAGAGCUCGUAGGCGGCUUGUUGCGUCGACUGUGAAAACCCGCGGCUUAACUGCGGGCUUGCAGUUGAUACGGGCAGGCUAGAGUUCGGUAGGGGAGACCGGAAUUCCUGGUGUAGCGGUGAAAUGCGCAGAUAUCAGGAGGAACACCGGUGGCGAAGGCGGGUCUCUGGGCCGAUACUGACGCUGAGGAGCGAAAGCGUGGGGAGCGAACAGG